rnacentral:rRNA from 1 species
GUUAGGAAUAUUGGACAAUGGGCGCAAGCCUGAUCCAGCCAUGCCGCGUGAGUGAUGAAGGCCUUCGGGUUGUAAAGCUCUUUAGCCGAUGAUUAUAAUGACUGUAGUCGGAAAAUAAGCCUCGGCUAACUUCGUGCCAGCAGCCGCGGUAAUACGAAGGGGGCGAGCGUUAUUCGGAAUCACUGGGCGUAAAGCGUGCGUAGGCGGCUUUGCAAGUUGGGAGUGAAAGCCCAGGGCUCAACCCUGGAAUUGCUCUCAAAACUGCAAGGCUCGAAUUCGGGAGAGGAUAGCGGAAUUGUCAGUGUAGCAGUGAAAUGCGUAGAUAUUGACAGGAACACCAGUGGCGUAAGCGGCUAUCUGGACCGAUAUUGACGCUGAGGCACGAAAGCGUGGGGAUCAAACAGGAUUAGAUACCCGAGUAGUCC